UUUUUCUUGUCCAUUAUUGUUUGAUUUAUACAUGUGUUGGAUUGUAAUUAUUUGUGCUUUAUCAAGAGUACUAUCCUAAGAAAUUCUAAGUGCGUGAACAUACUAAACAGUGAGAAAGAAAAGUGGAGAAGAUGGAAAUGGAAAAAUGUCAUAACUCCAUCUAAAUCAUCAAUAAUUUGGCUAUUCAGUAAAAGUGAAAACCACCUAUAUGUGCAGUACAGUUUUGUUCUGCCUUGUGAAAAUCCUUGCCCUUGAAAGGCCUUCCCAUAGUAGAAAGUAAGUUACUUUGAUACAGAUAUUUGUACAUUGAUGGAUACUUUGGAAAGGUAACAAAAACUCAGCAUUUUCUUUAUCCUGAAACAUUUCCAUUUUAGUCCAAAAAUACUUGAAUGAAAAUCUGAUCUGUAAGUAGCCGUGUUAUCUGGUAACUUACAGAUAAAGGUAAGUAAUACAGAGAGAUGAUCACAGAUGAGCCUUGGAUAACACCAGUUUUUAAAAUUUACUUGAAAUAUUUUUCCUUUAAGAAAUGAGUGAGAUAAAUAACUCAAAAGUAGUCAGUCCCUAAGAUUUGCCCUUUUUUAUGGUACCGGGCUGCCAACUCAGACCAUUACUCACUUAGGAAGUUAAAAGCACCCCAAAACCCCAUCCCUCCGAUACCAAAGGAAAAAUCCACAUUAAAAGAAAAUUAUUAUUAUAACCAGGAACAUUUUAACGUUUUGAUGAUAGUAAACAUUUUGAUGUGGAGUGGAUGGAGGUGUUACGCUUGUUUUCAACAAGUGUGUUUAGAGGGCAAAACACCUGGCAGAUAGUUUCAGGGCUAAAGUGAAGGAUUGUUAGUUGUUCGUGUUGAUGUUUUAUCAUGCGACUUUUGUGUUAGGUCAAGUGAAUGUUUUCCUAAUGAAAAUGCAAUUUUAGUCUGAGGCAUAUUGUGUGAGGUUUGAAAUAUAGGCUUAUUUCUCACCUCAGCUCUAUUAUAUACAGCUGCGUUAUCUUUAACAGAUUAUACAUAAACAUUGCUGGCAUCUUGUCUAAUCUGUAAAAGGGGAAGGAAGUGAUGGAUGGCACCUCAUGGGUUUUCAGAUUAUGUGACAUUGGUUAGGACUUAGCAAAAUGGUUUCAGU